rnacentral:rRNA from 1 species
UGAGGGAAUAUUGGGUCAAUGGGCGAGAGCCUGAACCAGCCAAGUAGCGUGCAGGAUGACGGCCCUAUGGGUUGUAAACUGCUUUUAUGCGGGGAUAAAGCGGGCGACGUGUCGCCCCUUGCAGGUACCGCAUGAAUAAGGACCGGCUAAUUCCGUGCCAGCAGCCGCGGUAAUACGGAAGGUCCGGGCGUUAUCCGGAUUUAUUGGGUUUAAAGGGAGCGCAGGCCGGGUAUUAAGCGUGUUGUGAAAUGUAGGCGCCCCAACGUCUGCACCGCAGCGCGAACUGGUGCCCUUGAGUACGCACAAAGUGGGCGGAAUUCGUGGUGUAGCGGUGAAAUGCUUAGAUAUCACGAAGAACUCCGAUUGCGAAGGCAGCUCACUGGAGCGCAACUGACGCUGAAGCU